rnacentral:rRNA from 1 species
GAUCAUGGCUCAGGACGAACGCUGGCGGCGCGCUUAAUACAUGCAAGUCGAACGAGAAGCCAGAGCUUGCUCUGGUGGAAAGUGGCGAACGGGUGAGUAACACGUGAGAAACCUGCCCCAAAGAUUGGGAUAAGCCUUGGAAACGAGGUCUAAUACCAAAUACCUUCUUUUAACACAUGUUAAAAGAGAAAUGCUCCGGCGCUUUGGGAUGGUCUCGCGAUCUAUCAGCUUGUUGGUGAGGUAACGGCUCACCAAGGCAUCGACGGAUAGCUGGUCUGAGAGGAUGUCCAGCCACAUUGGAACUGAGACACGGUCCAAACUCCUACGGGAGGCAGCAGUAGGGAAUCUUGCACAAUGAGGGAAACCUUGAUGCAGCGACGCCGCGUGCGGGACGAAGGCCCUAGGGUUGUAAACCGCUUUCAGUAGGGACGAAAGUGACGGUACCUACAGAAGAAGCCCCGGCCAACUAUGUG